rnacentral:rRNA from 1 species
UACAGAGGUCCCGAGCGUUGUUCGGAUUCAUUGGGCGUAAAGGGUGCGUAGGCGGCGGGGCAAGUCUGAUGUGAAAUCCCGGGGCUCAACCCCGGAACUGCAUUGGAUACUGCCUUGCUUGAGUACUGGAGAGGGAACUGGAAUUACGGUGUAGCAGUGAAAUGCGUAGAUAUUGGGAGGAACACCGGUGGCGAAGGCGGCCCUCUGGACCGGUACUGACGCUGAUGCGCGAAAGCGUGGGAG